AUAUUCUCCAGAACCCGCGGACAGGAGAAAAUGGUUGCCGACCAAUUCCAUCCUAGCGACCGUGGCGCCGUGACGCCUUCACCACUCAUCGAGAGAUUUGACAUGAUCCAUUAGGAAUCAUCCAUGAAUCUUGAAUCUGAGUUUGAAUUUGCAUCAGGAAGAACAAGAAGGAAGAAAGGGAUAACGUACCGGGUUCGUCGCGCCUGGUGAUUCAUUCUUCAACCUUCAUAUUUCGAUUAUCCCACCAUUUUUAUUUCUCUUAUUAAUCUUGUCGCCUUAUUAUCACUGUGUAGUGAAUCAAUGUUGUUAUUCAACUGCGCGCGUGACGAAGAGUUUAAAGAAGAAAGGUGAAGAUCAUUGAGUUUCCAAUUUCUCGAAGGGUGACAAUGAAUUGAAGAAUGCGUUGUUGGUUUUGCUCUUCCUUGCUAUGGACUCUGUUUGCAGCUCCCCCUUUUCGCUGGAUUGAUGGUUUUAUUUCAUUGGAAUUGCUUGGAAACAUAUUCCUGUACUCGGUGAUGCCCUGCUGCUCCAUGAUUCGGAUGUGUGUUUGCGUUGCUGUGGUUUCGUGAAUUACGCAGGUUGACAGUGUGUUGGAGUGAAGCUGCAGGUUCGCUUGUCAAGGUUACAUGGUGGGUUUAUCGUGAAUUGAUGAAAGCAAUGGUUUAUUGUGGACGGUUAACAAUUAGGUUGUGUUAUGUUGUCAUGGAAAAGUCUGGACUCAAUGGCUUUCAAAGUGCAUUGAUGGGUGCUUGAACUGUCUUUGGAGUGCUUUGCCUCGCAUUGGAUAGGAAUUGGCUUGGCAUUGGUGGAUGCUUUCAAACUUUUGAAUACUUUUUAUAAUGGUUUAUGAUUGGAAAUGUAUUUAUUAUGAAGAUAGAAUUAAGAGGUAAAAAAAGAUUUUGAAUAUACUGUAUAAGUUGUAAUAUGAAUGGAAUUUUGGUUAAAUGCUAUAGGAAUUAGAUUUUGGCUUAUGGAAUAGUUUCAAAUGUCGAAUGUAUGGUUAUGUGAUGAAAAUGGGAUUAACGGUUUG